AGAGUUUGAUCCUGGCUCAGGAUGAACGCUAGCGGCAGGCCUAAUACAUGCAAGUCGAGGGGUAACAUGGCAGCAAUGCUGAUGACGACCGGCGCACGGGUGCGUAACGCGUAUGCAACCUACCUUUUACUGGGGGAUAGCCCGGAGAAAUUCGGAUUAACACCGCAUAAUAUGUUUGAGUGGCAUCACUUGGAUAUUAAAUAUUUAUAGGUAAAAGAUGGGCCUGCGUCUGAUUAGCUAGUUGGUGGUGUAACAGACCACCAAGGCGAUGAUCAGUAGGGGUUCUGAGAGGAAGAUCCCCCACACUGGCACUGAGAUACGGGCCAGACUCCUACGGGAGGCAGCAGUAGGGAAUAUUGGGCAAUGGUGGCAACACUGACCCAGCCACGCCGCGUGCAGGAAGAAGGCGCUCAGCGUUGUAAACUGCUUUUGCCCGGGAAGAAUAACCUUUACGUGUAAGGGGAAUGACGGUACCGGGUGAAUAAGCACCGGCUAACUCCGUGCCAGCAGCCGCGGUAAUACGGAGGGUGCAAGCGUUGUCCGGAUUUAUUGGGUUUAAAGGGUGCGUAGGCGGCGCCUUAAGUCCGGGGUGAAAGACGGCCGCUCAACGGUCGCAGUGCCCUGGAUACUGAGGGGCUUAGAGUACAGGCGAGGCUGGUGGAACGGGUGGUGUAGCGGUGAAAUGCAUAGAUACCAUCCAGAACACCGAUUGCGAAGGCAGCCAGCUAGACUGUUACUGACGCUGAGGCACGAAAGCGCGGGGAGCAAACAGGAUUAGAUACCCCGGUAGUCC
rnacentral:rRNA from 1 species